rnacentral:rRNA from 1 species
GACGGAGGGGGCUAGCGUUGUUCGGAAUUACUGGGCGUAAAGAGCACGUAGGCGGCGGUGCAAGUUGGGGGUGAAAUCCCGGGGCUCAACCUCGGAACUGCCUUUGAUACUGCAAAUCUCGAGUCCGGAAGAGGUGAGUGGAAUUCCUAGUGUAGAGGUGAAAUUCGUAGAUAUUAGGAAGAACACCAGUGGCGAAGGCGGCUCACUGGUCCGGUACUGACGCUGAGGUGCGAAAGCGUGGGGAGCAAACAGG